CCCACCCCAACACACAAAGAGCGGGAACCUUGUCGGUGUUGUUCACUGCCCCAUCUCUAACACUUCAAACAAUGCCUAGUGCUCAAUAAAUAUUUCAGUGACUGGCCCUUUGUUUUACAGAUGUGAAAAACUAAGACACAGAGCAGUUAAAAGAUCUAAUGACAGAACUCAGAAUGGAACACAGGUCUCCUACUUCUAGACUCAUGUUUUUGAGGAGAUCCGUGGAUCAGCAUCUCUCCUGGUCAGGACCACAGAGGCCUUCCACCCGCUGUGUGAAGCUUCGUUGGAUGCCAGCUUCAAAAGCAAAAGAAACCAGCAUAUCAUUUGUCUGAUCUGUUCAGUGCCUAUGCAAUGCUUGGCAUAAAAAGGGGGAGAAUAAAUAAGAAGAAAGAGGUACAGAGAAGGAGUCAGAAAGAAAAGGAAAGAAGGAAAUCAAAAUAGAAAAGAGAAAAGGUGGGAAAGAGAGAUAAAAGAGAAAAAUGAGAGAGAAGAAAAGACAGCCAAAAAAGAAACAGGUGAGAAAAAUACAUAGGGACAACUAAAAUAUUUUAUGGGUAAGAAAAAGAGUUGAAGA
rnacentral:lncRNA from 1 species